rnacentral:rRNA from 1 species
CGCUGAGUUUGAUCCUGGCUCAGAUUGAACGCUGGCGGAAUGCUUUACACAUGCAAGUCGAACGGUAGAGGGGGCAACCCCUUGAGAGUGGCGAACGGGUGAGUAAUAUAUCGGAACGUGCCCAGUCGUGGGGGAUAACGUAGCGAAAGUUACGCUAAUACCGCAUACGAUCUAAGGAUGAAAGCGGGGGAUCGCAAGACCUCGCGCGAUUGGAGCGGCUGAUAUCAGAUUAGGUUGUUGGUGAGGUAAAAGCUCACCAAGCCGACGAUCUGUAGCUGGUUUGAGAGAACGACCAGCCACACU